rnacentral:rRNA from 1 species
AUUGAACGCUGGCGGCAUGCUUUACACAUGCAAGUCGAACGGUAACAGGCCGCAAGGUGCUGACGAGUGGCGAACGGGUGAGUAAUGCAUCGGAACGUGCCCAGUCGUGGGGGAUAACGCAGCGAAAGCUGUGCUAAUACCGCAUACGAUCUAUGGAUGAAAGCGGGGGACCGUAAGGCCUCGCGCGAUUGGAGCGGCCGAUGUCAGAUUAGGUAGUUGGUGGGGUAAAGGCCCACCAAGCCAACGAUCUGUAGCUGGUCUGAGAGGACGACCAGCCACACUGUGACUGCGACACGGCGCAGACUCCUACGGGAGGCAGCAGUGGGGAAUUUUGGACAAUGGGCGCAAGCCUGAUCCAGCAAUGCCGCGUGCAGGAAGAAGGCCUUCGGGUUGUAAACUGCUUUUGUACGGAACGAAACGGUCUGGGUUAAUACCCUAGGCUAAUGACGGUACCGUAAGAAUAAGCACCGGCUAACUACGUGCCAGCCGCCGCUGUAACAC